rnacentral:lncRNA from 1 species
GGCUUGCCGUCACCUCUGGAGAGCUUGGCUACACAUCGGAAGUCUAUUUGCAUGUUUCCCCCUCAUCUGUAGGAAGUCCAGCAGUAGGAUUGAGGUUACUCUGUCACAUUCCCAAGGUGGAAGUGUAGGUAGUGUUGCUCACACUCUGCCUACUGCUCUGCACUUUGUUUUUGCCCUUCACACUGCACCUCACGGAUACCUCAGCAGGUGCCACAAGCCCGCCUCACCAUUUCUGGGGCUGAGUACUAUUCCCACACUUUAGUCCACUUAGUUUUCCUGUUGAUGUUCUUCAGUAUUUUUCCAAGUUUUCAAUACUAUAAACAAUGAUGCAGUAAGACUUUGUACAUGUCCACAUGUAUAAUCUGGGAGUUUCUCUCUGGUAGAAACAGAGGUGGGUUAAAUGGUAUGUCUGUGUUUAAUUUGAAAGCGUGGCCAAACUUCUCCAGACAACGUCAGUUCACACUCUCACUGAUGAUGUAUGAGUGAAUUUGCUUUCCUCCAACUGCAAACAGAUGUCCUGCUGUCAGUCUUGUUUGCUCUAUGGUGAUGAUGACCAUGCAGAGAAAGAAAGCAGGCACUCAUUUCAGGCCUGGAAGCUGGUUCCAGCCUCUUUGGGCCCCAAAGGACCAGAUGGGUCAGCGAUGUGCAGUAGCUGGCCCGGAAGAAUGGACACCCAUGUGGGGGGCACAGAGCGCACAGCUGCAGCUGCUGAGGAUAAAGAACGGAUGGUGUUAAUUUCCCAGAAAUUUUCUGCAACCUCAGGGCUUUGAUCUGCAGGCCCCAGGCCCCUCCCAAAAAGCACAGCCAUAUUUGGGGCACACCACCAAGUGGAAAGAGGAUCUUCAGCACAACUGCAUACCAAGCAUCAAGUCUCCACCCAUGGGGAGUUAAGCGGGCUGGGACUCACCUCACAGGUGUGAUCUGCCACAGUUUCCUGUUCAUGUUUGUUUUCCAGUGUCUCCAGGGCAGGGGUGCAACCCUGUAAGCCAUGAAUUCAUUCAACCAACAAGUAUUCAUUGAUGAUCUGAUGGAGAUUAGUCAUCUUGGUGGGUUCAGAACUAAGAGGUUUUCUAGGAUGUGGGACUUUCAGAGCUAAAACAGGAGAAUUCCAUGUGAGCUGGGCAAGUUGCCCUCCCUGGAAGACCUGCCACUGUGCUGGGCUCUGAGGCUGCUGUGGGUGGAUGGCAGGAAGUCCUCCUCCCAUAGAGCUCACUUUCUACAGAGAAGGAGUAAAAGUAAGUAGCUUUUGAUUUAAAGUUGUCAUUUGAGCCACCCAGAAGUCAAUUUGCAGUGGGACCAUGCAACAAGAACCUGUCUCUUUUGGGCUCAGAGGAAGUUUCCUACUGACCCAUAAAGUCAGGGGUUCUGACAGUGCCCAAACUUCCUGUGUGUACACGUGCCUGUACAUGUGUGUGUCUGAGCAUGGAGCAUCUCUUGUGACACGCCUCAGUUCUGCAGAGGUGAGUGAUUCCAUUGCUCUCCCCUGAAAAGGGAAGGUGGUGGGUGGAGGGGCAGCAAAGGGGUGUGUGCAGCUCCACCUUCCCUUCCCCUCUCCCUGGGAGGCCUACAGGGUGUGCCCUGGUGUUCUUUCUCACUCUACUGAGGGAGUGGGUAUGGGUGAGGCUACAGUUACCCUGCAGAUCUGGUGGCUCCUUACUGUGGCCUCACAGCUGGCUUGGGCUUCCAGUUUUUUUUUUUUUAAAUUUAUUUAUGAUAGUCACACACAGAGAGAGAGAGAGAGAGAGAGAGAGGCAGAGAC